UACGUAGGUGGCAAGCGUUGUCCGGAUUUACUGGGCGUAAAGAGCGCGCAGGCGGUCGUACAAGUCGCGUGUGAAAGCCCCCGGCUCAACUGGGGAGGGUCACGCGAUACUGUUCGACUCGAAGGCAGGAGAGGGAAGCGGAAUUCCCGGUGUAGUGGUGAAAUGCGUAGAUAUCAGGAAGAACACCCGUGGCUAAGGCGGCUCUCUAGUACGGUACUGACGCUGAGACGCGAAAGCGUGGGGAGCGAACAGG
rnacentral:rRNA from 1 species